rnacentral:misc_RNA from 1 species
AAGUCGUAACAAGGUUUCCGUAGGUGAACCUGCGGAAGGAUCAUUAAAAGUAUUGGGUUAUAAUUUCAUGUAUCAACUGCAUUAACCCAUCCGAGUACCUUGCCGUUGCUUUCCAUGGGGGCCCUGACCUAGGGUCCUUGUGAUGUGAAACCCAAGAGGUCCCCCAUGGGGAGGUACAUUAAAUUUCAUGUAUCCAAUGCUUCUGUCUGAACUGUUUAUAACAAUGUUAAAA